GUGAGGAAUAUUGGUCAAUGGGCGGGAGCCUGAACCAGCCAAGUCGCGUGAAGGAAGAAGGAUCUAUGGUUCGUAAACUUCUUUUGCAGGGGAAUAAAGUGCAGGACGUGUCCUGUUUUGUAUGUACCCUGAGAAUAAGGAUCGGCUAACUCCGUGCCAGCAGCCGCGGUAAUACGGAGGAUCCGAGCGUUAUCCGGAUUUAUUGGGUUUAAAGGGUGCGUAGGUGGUUUGAUAAGUCAGCGGUGAAAGUUUGCAGCUUAACUGUAAAAUUGCCGUUGAAACUGUCGAUCUUGAGUGCAAAUGAGGUAAGCGGAAUGUGUUGUGUAGCGGUGAAAUGCUUAGAUAUAACACAGAACACCGAUUGCGAAGGCAGCUUACUGGGAUGCAACUGACGCUCAUGCACGAAAGCGUGGGGAUCAAACAGGAUUAGAAACCCCUGUAGUCC
rnacentral:rRNA from 1 species